AAUAAAAUAUUAGUAAAUAAGUUUCUUGUUUCUACGGCUAAUGAUUUUGUUCUCCCAGAACAAACCAUAGGAAAUAACAUCAUUCUUUGUUCCUGGUCUGGAGGAAGGAGCUUGCAUUGUAUUUGCCUGUUACUGGGGAAGAGCGUCCAACUUGCAAAUCUGCAAAGCUGGUUGUUUACAGUAGAAGCUUCCAGGAAGAAAGGUCCAGUAAGAAAAGACCAACUUACAAGUGCAAGUUCUGCUUCACAACAAGACAUGCAAGACAUGAAAGGGAAGAGCACCAAGGAAGAGGGCUUGAGCUUCACUUUUUUUUUCUGCGAAGAGUUUCCAGCUCACCAGAAAUGGACUGAGCAAAAGCUCAGAAAGAUAGAGGUGCCAAGAAAAUAGCAGCAUUAUCUCCAUCUCAAGGUUACAAACAGCUUCACAACAAUAUCAGGUGGGAAAAAACUCUGUCCAGGCUCUGAAAACAUGGAUCCCAGCAUAGUCAGGAGGGGCAAGCCACAUGUAAGAGAGGGAAAGAAGCAUGUUGCAUUAUUUGCGAUGGGCUUUCCAUAAACACUAUUAGAUUCCAAAGAGAAUAAUAUCUAGGAAAUGCAGAGAAAUUUCCUACAGAACAAGUCUUCAAAAUGUCCAUUCCACCAACAAGUAUUUAAGAAAAGGAAAGAAAAAGAUCCCACGAGCCAUUAAAGCUUAUUCUCGAGUACGUAUCUCUGUGAGAGAAUUUUUUAAUAGUAACUUUGGAUUGAUCUGAUUUUAUUAUGUACUGCCAGGGCUACAAGGGAGUAUUUGCAAUGAUUUAUACAAGUUGCAGUUCAUAAUUUUUGAUGUGGGCUGAGCUGCUGUUACAAAAAUUCCAUAGUUCUGAACUUGGGUCAGUUCAUCCAUUCACAGAUCAGUUUGUAACAGUUCCUUUGUUGAAAAACCAGCCUUGGAAAUUAAGAAUCAGGUAGAAGUUUGCAGUAUUUCCCUUCUGUAAACAGAUGGAGGAAAUCAGAAGCCUUUUUUCCAUCCCUUUGAAAAGAGAACCAAACAACUCUCCAAA
rnacentral:lncRNA from 1 species